UUGAGGUUUGGUAUGAGUCAAAUGCUUGUACCUCUAAGAUUGAGCUGUGAUGGGGAAGCACUUUCGAGUGCGAAGUACCUGAUGUCACACUGCCAAGAAAAUCUUCUAGCGUUUAAUUAUAACCUACCCGUACCGCAAACCGACACAGGUAGUCGAGGCGAGUAGCCUCAGGUGAGCGAGAGAACUCUCGUUAAGGAACUCGGCAAAAUGACCCCGUAACUUCGGGAGAAGGGGUGCUCUACAUUUGUAGAGCCGCAGUGAAUAGGCCCAAGCGACUGUUUAUCAAAAACACAGCUCUCUGCUAAAUCGUAAGAUGAUGUAUAGGGGGUGACGCCUGCCCGGUGCUGGAAGGUUAAGAGGAGUGCUUAGCGUAAGCGAAGGUAUGAAUUGAAGCCCCAGUAAACGGCGGCCGUAACAAUAACGGUCCUAAGGUAGCGAAAUUCCUUGUCGGGUAAGUUCCGACCCGCACGAAAGGCGUAACGAUUUGGGCACUGUCUCAACGAGAGACUCGGUGAAAUUUUAGUACCUGUGAAGAUGCAGGUUACCCGCGACAGGACGGAAAGACCCCAUGGAGCUUUACUGCAAGUUGAUAUUGAGUAUCUGUUGCACAUGUACAGGAUAGGUAGGAGCCAUUGAUCUGAGGACGCUAGUUUUCAGUGAGGCGAUGUUGGGAUACUACCCUUGUGUCAUGGCUACUCUAACCCGCAUGCCUAAUCGGCAUGGGAGACAGUGUCUGCUGGGCAGUUUGACUGGGGCGGUCGCCUCCUAAAGAGUAACGGAGGCGCUCAAAGUUUCCCUCAGCAUGGUUGGAAAUCAUGCGUAGAGUGUAAAGGUAUAAGGGAGAUUGACUGCGAGACUUACAAGUCGAGCAGGUACGAAAGUAGGACUUAGUGAUCCGGUGGUACCGCAUGGAAGGGCCAUCGCUCAACGGAUAAAAGCUACCCUGGGGAUAACAGGCUUAUCUCCCCCAAGAGUUCACAUCGACGGGGAGGUUUGGCACCUCGAUGUCGGCUCGUCGCAUCCUGGGGCUGUAGUCGGUCCCAAGGGUUGGGCUGUUCGCCCAUUAAAGCGGCACGCGAGCUGGGUUCAGAACGUCGUGAGACAGUUCGGUCCCUAUCCGUCGCGGGCGUAGGAAAUUUGAGAGGAUCUGCCCUUAGUACGAGAGGACCGGGGUGGACUUACCGCUGGUGUACCAGUUGUCUUGCCAAAGGCAUCGCUGGGUAGCUAUGUAGGGAACGGAUAAACGCUGAAAGCAUCUAAGUGUGAAACCAACCUCAAGAUGAGAUUUCCCAUUCUUUAUGAAUUAAGAGCCCUGAGAGAUGAUCAGGUAGAUAGGCUAGA
rnacentral:rRNA from 1 species